UACGAAGGUCCCGAGCGUUGUUCGGAAUCACUGGGCGUAAAGGGAGCGUAGGCGGUUUGGUAAGUCAGAUGUGAAAUCCCGGGGCUCAACCCCGGAACUGCAUCCGAUACUGCCGGACUUGAGCAAUGGAGAGGUAGCCGGAAUUCUCGGUGUAGCAGUGAAAUGCGUGGAUAUCGAGAGGAACACUCGUGGCGAAGGCGGGCUACUGGACAUUUGCUGACGCUGAGGCUCGAAGGCCAGGGGAGCGAAA
rnacentral:rRNA from 1 species